rnacentral:rRNA from 1 species
GAACGCUGGCGGCGUGCUUAACACAUGCAAGUCGAACGGAAAGGCCCUGCUUUUGUGGGGUGCUCGAGUGGCGAACGGGUGAGUAACACGUGAGUAACCUGCCCUUGACUUUGGGAUAACUUCAGGAAACUGGGGCUAAUACCGGAUAGGAGCUCCUGCUGCAUGGUGGGGGUUGGAAAGUUUCGGCGGUUGGGGAUGGACUCGCGGCUUAUCAGCUUGUUGGUGGGGUAGUGGCUUACCAAGGCUUUGACGGGUAGCCGGCCUGAGAGGGUGACCGGCCACAUUGGGACUGAGAUACGGCCCAGACUCCUACGGGAGGCAGCAGUGGGGAAUAUUGCACAAUGGGCGGAAGCCUGAUGCAGCAACGCCGCGUGCGGGAUGACGGCCUUCGGGUUGUAAACCGCUUUCGCCUGUGACGAAGCGUGAGUGACGGUAAUGGGUAAAGAAGCACCGGCUAACUACGUGCCAGCAGCCGCGGUGAUACGUAGGGUGCGAGCGUUGUCCGGAUUUAUUGGGCGUAAAGGGCUCGUAGGUGGUUGAUCGCGUCGGAAGUGUAAUCUUGGGGCUUAACCCUGAGCGUGCUUUCGAUACGGGUUGACUUGAGGAAGGUAGGGGAGAAUGGAAUUCCUGGUGGAGCGGUGGAAUGCGCAGAUAUCAGGAGGAACACCAGUGGCGAAGGCGGUUCUCUGGGCCUUUCCUGACGCUGAGGAGCGAAAGCGUGGGGAGCGAACAGGCUUAGAUACCCUGGUAGUCCACGCUGUAAACGGUGGGUACUAGGUGUGGGGUCCAUUCCACGGGUUCCGUGCCGUAGCUAACGCUUUAAGUACCCCGCCUGGGGAGUACGGCCGCAAGGCUAAAACUCAAAGGAAUUGACGGGGCCCCGCACAAGCGGCGGAGCAUGCGGAUUAAUUCGAUGCAACGCGUAGAACCUUACCUGGGUUUGACAUGGAUCGGGAGUGCUCAGAGAUGGGUGUGCCUCUUUUGGGGUCGGUUCACAGGUGGUGCAUGGCUGUCGUCAGCUCGUGUCGUGAGAUGUUGGGUUAAGUCCCGCAACGAGCGCAACCCUUGUUCACUGUUGCCAGCACGUUAUGGUGGGGACUCAGUGGAGACCGCCGGGGUCAACUCGGAGGAAGGUGGGGAUGACGUCAAGUCAUCAUGCCCCUUAUGUCCAGGGCUUCACGCAUGCUACAAUGGCUGGUACAGAGAGUGGCGAGCCUGUGAGGGUGAGCGAAUCUCGGAAAGCCGGUCUCAGUUCGGAUUGGGGUCUGCAACUCGACCUCAUGAAGUCGGAGUCGCUAGUAAUCGCAGAUCAGCAACGCUGCGGUGAAUACGUUCCCGGGGCUUGUACACACCGCCCGUCAAGUCAUGAAAGUUGGUAACACCCGAAGCCGGUGGCCUAACCGUUGUGGGGGAGCCGUCGAAGGUGGGACUGGUGAUUAG